rnacentral:rRNA from 1 species
UACGAAGGGGGCUAGCGCUGCUCGGAAUCACUGGGCGUAAAGCGCACGUAGGCGGAUCUUUAAGUCAGGGGUGAAAUCCUGGAGCUCAACUCCAGAACUGCCUUUGAUACUGGAGAUCUCGAGUCCGGAAGAGGUGAGUGGAACUCCGAGUGUAGAGGUGAAAUUCGUAGAUAUUCGGAAGAACACCAGUGGCGAAGGCGGCUCACUGGUCCGGUACUGACGCUGAGGUGCGAAAGCGUGGGGAGCAAACAGG